GCCAGAUAUAAAGAUUGGGUUACCCACAAAGGGAAGCCCAUCAGAGUAACAGUGGAUCUCUCUGCAGAAACUCUACAAGCCAGAAGAGAAUGGGGGCCAAUAUUCAACAUUCUUAAAGAAAAGAAUUUUCAAACCAAAAUUUCAUAUCCAGCCAAACUUAGCUUCAUAAGCGAAGGAGAAAUAAAAUCCUUUACAGACAAGCAAAUGCUGAGAGAUUUUGUCACCACCAGGCCUGUCUUACAAGAGUUCCUGAAGGAAGUACUAAACAUGGAAAGGAAAACCCGGUACCAGACACUGCAAAAAUGUACCAAAUUGUAAAGACCAUUGACACUGUGAAGACACUGCAUGAAUUAAUGGACAAAAUAACCAACUAGCAUCAUAGGGACAGGAUCAAAUUCACAUAUAACAAUAUUAACCUUAAAUGUAAAUGAGCUAAAUGCCCCAGUUAAAAGACUCACACUGGCAAAUUGGAUAGAGUCAAGACCCAUCAGUGUGCUGUAUUCAGGAGACCCAUCUCACGUGCACAGACACACAUAGUCUCAAAAUAAAGGGAUGAAGGAAGAUUUACCAAGCAAAUUAAAAGCAAAAAAAAAAGCAGGGAUUACAAUCCUAGUCUCUGAUAAAACAGACUUUAAACCAACAAACGUAAACAAAGACAAAGAAGGGCAUUACAUGAUGGCAAAAGGAUCAAUGCAACAAGAAGAGCUGACAAUCCUAAACGUAUAUGCACCCAAUACAGGAGCACCCAGAUUCAUAAAGCAAGUUCUUAGAGACCUACAAAGAGACUUAGACUCCCACUCAAUAGUAGUGGGAGACUUUAACACCCCACUGUCAAUAUUAGAUCAACGAGACAGAAAAUUAACAUGGAUGUUCAGGACUUGAACCCUUAUCCAGACCAAGUGGACCUAAUAGACAUUUUCAGAACUCCCCACCCCAAAUCAACAGAACAUACAUUCUUCUCAGCACCAUAUUGCACUGAUUCUAAAAUUGACCACAUAAUUGGAAGUAAAAUCCUCAGCAAAUGCAAAAGAACAGAAAUCAUAACAAACAGUCUCUCAGACCACAGUGCAACCAAGUUAGAACUCAGAAUUCAGAAACUCACUCAAAACCGCACAACUACAUGGAAACUGAACAACCUGCUCCUGAAUCACUCUGGGUACAUAAUGAAACUGAGGCAGUAAUAAAUAAUUUCUUUGAAACCAUGAUAAUAAAGACAUAAUGUACCAGAAUCUCUGGGACACACCCAAAGCAGUGUUUCGAGUGGCAUUUAUAGCACUAAAUGCCCGCAGGAGAAAUCAGGAAAGAUAUAAAAUCAACACCCUAACAUCACACUUAAAAGAACUAGAGAAGCAAAAGCAAACAAAUUAGAAAGCUAGCAGAAGACGAGAAAUAACUAAGAUCAGAGCAGAACUGAAGGAGCUAGAAACAGGAAAGACCCUUAAAAAAAUCAAUGAGGCUGCCACUGCCUUCAGAUCGUAGGGUCCCGGGCGGUAGCCUCUCGCAGCUCUCAGGGGAUCCAGGAAGGAGGCCUGCGGGCACGCGGUAGAGUGGGCCGGGAGACGAGGAGCUGGCAGCAGCAGCGCAGCAGGCCCUGACGAGCCACUGGCGCCACUGCUCCCACAGCAAUGAAGAUGGUCGCGCCCUGGACACAGCUCUACUCCAACAGCUGCUGCCUGUGCUGCCCUGUCCACACUGGCACGGCACCUGGUACCUGAUCAUCAAUGCCUGGUACUGUUGAUUUUAUUGAAUGCUUUAGCUGAUCCGGAUCAGUAUUGCUUCUCAAGUUCUGAACUGGGCAGUGACUUUGAGUUCAUGGAUGAUGCCAACAUGUGCAUUGCCAUUGGGAUUUCUCUUCUCAUGAUUCUGAUAUGUGCUAUCACUACUUAGGAGCAUACAAGCAACACGCAGCCUGGAUUAUCCCAUCCUUCUGUUACCAGAUCUUUGAUUUUGCCCUGAACACCUUGGUAGCAAUCACUGUGCUUGUUUAUCCAAACUCCAUUCAGGAAUACAUAGGACAACUGCCUCCUAAUUAUCCCUACAGAGAUGAUGUCAUGUCAGUGAAUCCUACCUGUUUGGUCCUUAUUGUUCUGUUUAUUAAUAUUACCUUGACUUUUCAGGGUUACUUGAUUAGCUAUGUUUGGAACUGCUACCGAUACAUCAAUCGCAGGAAGUCCUCCAGUGUCCUGGUUACCAGCAAGGACAACAUGGUGCUGCUACGCCCGUAUGAUGAUGUCACUGUGAAUGGGGCUGUCAAGGAGCCUCCGCCACCUUAUAUGUCUGCAUAAGCCUUCAAGUGGGCGGAGCCGAGGGCAGCAGCUUGACUUUUUCGACAUCUGAGCGAUAGUUCUGUUAUUUCAGUUUUGCGAUGCGCUCUCUGAGCAUGUUGCUGAAAUGCCACUUUUUAAAAUGUAGAUGUUAGGUUGAAACCUGUACUUUUUAGCAUAUGCUUUACUAGAACACUGUGAUAGAUGAGCUGUAGAAUUCUUUCUGUAGGAUUCGGGGUGUCAUGGGCUUCAUUAACCUUCCCUAGGCACUGAAACUUCCCCCAAAUCUGAUGGCUCCAGAGUCAGAGAAGUUCGCUUUUGUACCUGCUGGACUCCAAAGUUGGGCAGUUAGUCACUUCUUUUUUCUUUGUUCCUCUAUUUUGAAAGUGUAAAAUAAAACCAGAAAUAGACAACUUUUUCUUAAGCCAUUCCAGUGUAGGAAAUAAAACCUUAUGAAAACAGGAAUGUCAACUGUGUAAUCAUUGUUCUAUUUAGGUAAAUAGAAGUCCUUAUGUAUGUAUUACAAGAACUUCCC